UUCCUGGAGGAACUUCCGGAGGAAUUCCUGGAGGAACUUCCGGAGGAAUUCCUGGAGGAACUUCCGGAGGAAUUCCUGGAGGAACUUCCGAAGGAAUUCCAGGAGGAACUUCCGGAGGAAUUCCAGGAGGAACUUCCGGAGGAAUUCCAGGAGGAACUUCCGGGGGAAUUUCUGGAGGAACUUCCGAAGGAAUUUCUGGAGGAACUUCCGAAGGAAUUUCUGAAGGAACUUCCGAAGGAAUUCCUGGAGGAACUUCCGGGGGAAUUCCCGGAGGAACUUACGGGGGAAUUCCCGGAGGAACUUACGUAGAAAUUCCUUGAAAAACUUUCAGAGUAAUUUUUGGAGAAACUUGCGGAAGUAUUCCUGGAGGAAUUUCCGUGGUAAUUUCUCGAGCAAUUUCAGGAGGAAUUCCUGGAGCAAUUUCAGAAGGUAUGGAUGAACCUCCGUUUAGGAUAAACCUCCUGGAGGAAUUUCUGGACGAUCUUCUGAAGGAAUUCCUGAAUGAACUUACGAAGAAAUCCCAAGACGAGCUUUCGGAGGUGUUCCUGGAUGAACUUGCGGAAGAAUUCCUGGAAGGAAUUUCUGGACGAAUUUCUGGACACACAUCCAGAUAAAUUCUUGGACGAACUUCUGAAGGAAUUUUUGGACAUCCAAACUGCCGAACAGCUACAUCCAAAGAAAUUCUUAAACGAAUCUCUGGAGAAUUUCCUGGACGAUCUCCCGGAGGAAUUCCUGGACGAAAUUCCGAAGGAAUUUCUUGAGGAGCUCCAGUAAUUCUUCAGGGGCUCCUCCAGGGAUAAGCCAACAAUCUCGCUGGAAAGUCACCAUACAUUUAUGUAAUGCCAUACAAGAAGAAUGCUCGCUUAACUUUUCAAAAGGUCCUAAGUAACAUUUUUUUCAUGAAUUAAUUUGAAUACGACAAUCAAUAGCUUUCAUGUUGUUCGGUUGAUUGCGCUAUUCAAAUUAAUUCAUGAAAAAAGUGUUACUUUGGUAUUUUUGAAAAGUUAAGCGAGAAAUGUUCAAAGCAAUGGUUAUUCUAGAAUUUAUACAUCCGGCAGACUACGGUGAGCUGCACAAAUUACUAUGACGGAAAAGCGAUAAGUGAUCAAUGUGUUAAGAAGUGACUACGGAAGCACGCUUAAGCGGUCGUGCUUCGUGAUAGUCACAUAAACGAAAGCUGAUAAUAUAAAUUUUUAACAGAAAUUCCAGAUAUUAAAUGAAAAACCACUUCAAGGCCUAGGGGUCUUUAGUAGACUUGCGAGCAAAGGCGUAGGAUUGCCGAUACGGAGACGGCGAGUUCGAUUCUCGGUCCCGGUGUAGGAUGUUUUCGGGUUAGAAACUUUCUCGACACCCUGGACAUAGUGUAUCCAUUGUACUAGCCACACAAGUAUGUAUCUUAUGCAAUGGCGAGCAUAGAAAAGCUAAGUUGAAAAGCAGGCCAAGUUCCAGUUGGAAUGUAGAGCCAUUAAAGAAGAAGAAGAA